CAUUGCAAUCUUCUCUGAUUCUAAUAGUAAAGAUAAUAAUCCUUCUGAUUGGCUUCUCAAUUUAGGUGGGCAAAGGACUUUCAAAUAAUGGACAAAAGCAUUUGCACACUGUCCGGGGCUGAGGAAGCAUUCAAUGAAGACACUGGUGCUCAUGGAGAUAAGUCUGACCCCUCCAUCUGCCCAUGAUAGAUUGAGUCUUGGAACGCAAACCCCAGACCCUGAAGGCAGCCCUCUUGGCCUGCUCCCAUCAAGCCUUCUGGAACCCUCUCUGAAAGGGAGAUGACUGCAUCUCAGAUGGACAUCCACAGACCUCUCCCAGGGCCAGAGCAGAUUUCUAGUCAGCUCUUGCACAUGCAAAACUGAGCUUCCUGCUAGCAGCUCAAAGACAAUACAGGCUUCUCAGGACAAGGGAAAGGUCGCACCAGAUGUGCUCUGGGACCUAUCCAGGUCUAACCCUCACUGUUUCUGACCCCAAACUGACAUCAUCGUCCCUUCCCAAAACUGCCCCUUCCUUUUAAGUCCUUCAUUUCUAUUCAUGGUACCACUGUUCCUCCUGUGACUUGGUCUCAGAAUUCCAGAAUGUCUUUUUCCGCUUCUCAUCUCCCACCGCCCACCCUUGAAAAAAAAUUGUUGUGUUCAGCAGA